rnacentral:sRNA from 1 species
GCUGUGUGGCAUUUUCUGGUCUAAAGCUCUGCUAGACAAUUGCGGUUGGGUGCAGUGUCUCACGCCUGUAAUCCCAGCACUUUGGAAGGCCAAGGCAGGAGGAUUGCUUGAGGCCAGGAAUUCAAGACCAGCCUGGGAAACAAACAUUUUCUUUGGACCAUUUUCUUCUUUGGAGGAUUAUACCUUGCUCAUCUUGGCACAAAAGAAGGCGAAAGGAAGUAACAUGGGAUUGGGAAAAGAGCAAGGAGGUAAAGUUUGAGGAAAAAAAAUCACUCUGUUGAUGUCUUCUUGAGUAGGCCAAGUUGCGUAUAAAGAGAAAAUGACAACAGGAGAUUUUAAGGUAUGAUAUAUUGUUAACAGUAGUACUUAUUUAAGAAGAGAAAAUAUGUUUUUGAAAACAAAUUUAAACUUGAAAGGAUGAUUUUCAUAUUUUGAAGGGAUUUAUAACUUCACAAAGCACCUCCAUUCUAUCUUGUUCAGCUUUACAUUUAAAAAUUCUUCUUGUUCGUAUAAAACUUAUCUCUUACAUAAAGUGAAAUCUGUUAAUUUUUUGUUUUGACAAGGAUAAACUACUUAUCUGCAUCUGUUUAAGAAUAGAUUAACUUAUUUUGAGAAGAAAUUCUGGGCACCAUUUUUGACUAUUGAAGACUUAUUUGUAAUUUAAUUUCUACUUUACAUUGUGAACGUUCAUUUUCUAAUAAACAAGAUUAUUUUGCAUAUGUAC